GAGUUUGAUCCUGGCUCAGGAUGAACGCUAGCGGCAGGCCUAAUACAUGCAAGUCGAACGCUCAGUAGCAAUACUGGGAGUGGCGCACGGGUGCGUAACGCGUACACAAUCUACCUCUAAGCGGGGGACACCUCCUGGAAACGGGGAUUAAUACCGCAUAAUAUGCCGAAGUCACAUGACUUUGGUAUUAAAGCAGCAAUGCACUUAGAGAUGAGUGUGCGUCCCAUUAGGUAGUUGGUGAGGUAACGGCUCACCAAGCCUAUGAUGGGUAGCCGGUCUGAGAGGAUGGUCGGCCACACGGGCACUGAGACACGGGCCCGACUCCUACGGGAGGCAGCAGUAAGGAAUAUUGGUCAAUGGUGGAAACACUGAACCAGCCAUGCCGCGUGGAGGAAUAAGGUCCUACGGAUUGUAAACUCCUUUUGACGAGGAAGAAAAUGUUAGAUUUAUCUAAUUUUGACGGUACUCGUAGAAUAAGCACCGGCUAACUCCGUG
rnacentral:rRNA from 1 species